UACGUAGGGGGCAAGCGUUGUCCGGAAUCAUUGGGCGUAAAGAGCGUGUAGGCGGCCCGGUAAGUCCGCUGUGAAAGUCGGAGGCUCAACCUCCGAAUGCCGGCGGAUACUGUCGGGCUAGAGUCCGGAAGAGGCGAGUGGAAUUCCUGGUGUAGCGGUGAAAUGCGCAGAUAUCAGGAGGAACACCAACGGCGAAGGCAGCUCGCUGGGACGGUACUGACGCUGAGACGCGAAAGCGUGGGGAGCAAACAGG
rnacentral:rRNA from 1 species